rnacentral:rRNA from 1 species
GAUGAACGCUGGCGGCGUGCCUAAUACAUGCAAGUCGAGCGAACAGACGAGGAGCUUGCUCCUCUUACGUUAGCGGCGGAUGGGUGAGUAACACGUGGAUAACCUACCUAUAAGACUGGGAUAACUUCGGGAAACCGGAGCUAAUACCGGAUAAUAUAUUGAACCGCAUGGUUCAUUAGUGAAAGACGGUUUUGCUGUCACUUAUAGAUGGAUCCGCGCUUCAUUAGCUAGUUGGUAAGGUAACGGCUUACCAAGGCAACGAUGCGUAGCCGACCUGAGAGGGUGAUCAGCCACGCUGGAACUGAGACACGGUCCAGGCUCCUACGGGAGGCAGCAGUGGGGAAUCUUCCGCAAUGGGCGAAAGCCUGACGGAGCAACGCCGCGUGAGUGAUGAAGGUCUUCGGAUCGUAAAGCUCUGUUAUUGGGGAAGAACGAAUGUGUAAGUACCUAUGCACGUCUUGACGGUACCUAAUGAGAAAGCCACGGCUAACUACGUG